rnacentral:rRNA from 3 species
CCCUGAGACUUAGAGUCUCCUGAAGGAACGUUGAAGACGACGACGUUGAUAGGCCGGGUGUGUAAGCGCAGCGAUGCGUUGAGCUAACCGGUACUAAUGAACCGUGAGGCUUAACCUU